CAAUAGCGUAUAUUUAAGUUGUUGCAGUUAAAAAGCUCGUAGUCGGAUUUUGGCUGAGAACGAUCGGUCCGCCGUUAGGUGUGCACUGAUUGGUCUCAGCUUCCUGGUGAGGAGGUGUGCUUCACGGCCACUUAGUCACCGUGGUUACUUUGAAAAAAUUAGAGUGUUCAAAGCGGGCUUACGCUUGAAUAUAUUAGCAUGGAAUAACACCAUAGGACUCCUGUCCUAUUUCGUUGGUCACGGGACGGGAGUAAUGAUUAAGAGGAACAGUUGGGGGCAUUCGUAUUUCAUUGUCAGAGGUGAAAUUCUUGGAUUUAUGAAAGACGAACUUCUGCGAGAGCAUUUGCCAAGGAUGUUUUCAUUGA
rnacentral:rRNA from 1 species